GAUGAAGAACGCAGCGAAAUGCGAUAAGUAAUGUGAAUUGCAGAAUUCAGUGAAUCAUCGAAUCUUUGAACGCACAUUGCGCCCGCCAGUAUUCUGGCGGGCAUGCCUGUUCGAGCGUCAUUUCAACCAUCAAGCCCUGCUUGCGUUGGGGUCCUGCGGCUGCCCGCAGGCCCUGAAAACCAGUGGCGGGCUCGCUAGUCACACCGAGCGCAGUAAUACAUCUCGCUUUGGGCGUGCGGCGGGUUCUUGCCGUUAAACACCCCCUUUUUACCAAGGUUGACCUAGGAUCAGGUAGGAAUACCCGCUGAACUUAAGCAUAUCAAUAAGCGGAGGA
rnacentral:misc_RNA from 1 species